GGCCUAACUUAUGUGUCAUGCAAAGGAUGGCUCUUGGAAAAAUGCAAAGAAGCAGGGGCCGCUAAGGGAGAGAUGUGAAGGUCAAGGAAGCUCUGAGCUCCUGACAGCCGCCCUUCCAGCCUUCUCCUGCCUUCCAUAGAGAGAUGCUAUGGACUCUUGGUCCAGAGACUCAAAUUCAAGGAAAAGAAGAGGCAACAUUUGCAGUGUUGAUCCUUGAGUUGAACAAAGAGUGGUCAGGAGAAGAAACCAACAAGAAAUGUAACCUACCUCCAGAACUCAGGAACUCAGCAAAUUCUCCCAGAUUGUGAUACCUCAUUUCUGAGGACUUCAUCUUUACCAAAUCUUUCAAUCCAAAGCAAACGAAUACUGAAAAUUCAUGUAUCCAAAGCAAAUGAAUACUGAACAUUCACGUUGAGAUGAUCUUUAAAUGUAAUUAAAUAGAGAUAAUGUAACUAAAA
rnacentral:lncRNA from 1 species